GAUGUAGCUCAAGGGUAGAGUGCAUGCUUUGUAUGUAUGAGACCUCUGGUUCGAUCCUGGAACAUCU
rnacentral:tRNA from 1 species